GAUGAACGCUGGCGGCGUGCCUAAUACAUGCAAGUCGAGCGAACGGACGAGAAGCUUGCUUCUCUGAUGUUAGCGGCGGACGGGUGAGUAACACGUGGAUAACCUACCUAUAAGACUGGGAUAACUUCGGGAAACCGGAGCUAAUACCGGAUAAUAUUUUGAACCGCAUGGUUCAAAAGUGAAAGACGGUCUUGCUGUCACUUAUAGAUGGAUCCGCGCUGCAUUAGCUAGUUGGUAAGGUAACGGCUUACCAAGGCAACGAUGCAUAGCCGACCUGAGAGGGUGAUCGGCCACACUGGAUCUGAGACACGGUCCAGACUCCUACGGGAGGCAGCAGUAGGGAAUCUUCCGCAAUGGGCGAAAGCCUGACGGAGCGACGCCGCGUGAGUGAUGAAGGUCUUCGGAUCGUAAAACUCUGUUAUUAGGGAAGAACAUAUGUGUAAGUAACUGUGCACAUCUUGACGGUACCUAAUCAGAAAGCCACGGCUAACUACGUG
rnacentral:rRNA from 1 species